GACGAACGCUGGCGGCGUGCUUAACACAUGCAAGUCGAACGGAAAGGCCCUGCUUUUGUGGGGUGCUCGAGUGGCGAACGGGUGAGUAACACGUGAGUAACCUGCCCUUGACUUUGGGAUAACUUCAGGAAACUGGGGCUAAUACCGGAUAGGAGCUCCUGCUGCAUGGUGGGGGUUGGAAAGUUUCGGCGGUUGGGGAUGGACUCGCGGCUUAUCAGCUUGUUGGUGGGGUAGUGGCUUACCAAGGCUUUGACGGGUAGCCGGCCUGAGAGGGUGACCGGCCACAUUGGGACUGAGAUACGGCCCAGACUCCUACGGGAGGCAGCAGUGGGGAAUAUUGCACAAUGGGCGGAAGCCGGAGGCAGCAACGCCGCGUGCGGGAUGACGGCCUUCGGGUUGUAAACCGCUUUCGCCUGUGACGAAGCGUGAGUGACGGUAAUGGGUAAAGAAGCACCGGCUAACUACGU
rnacentral:rRNA from 1 species